AUGCAAGUCGAGCGGUAGCACAGAGAGCUUGCUCUCGGGUGACGAGCGGCGGACGGGUGAGUAAUGUCUGGGAAACUGCCUGAUGGAGGGGGAUAACUACUGGAAACGGUAGCUAAUACCGCAUAAUGUCGCAAGACCAAAGUGGGGGACCUUCGGGCCUCAUGCCAUCAGAUGUGCCCAGAUGGGAUUAGCUAGUAGGUGGGGUAACGGCUCACCUAGGCGACGAUCCCUAGCUGGUCUGAGAGGAUGACCAGCCACACUGGAACUGAGACACGGUCCAGACUCCUACGGGAGGCAGCAGUGGGGAAUAUUGCACAAUGGGCGCAAGCCUGAUGCAGCCAUGCCGCGUGUGUGAAGAAGGCCUUCGGGUUGUAAAGCACUUUCAGCGGGGAGGAAGGCGUUGAGGUUAAUAACCUUGUCGAUUGACGUUACCCGCAGAAGAAGCACCGGCUAACUCCGUGCCAGCAGCCGCGGUAAUACGGAGGGUGCAAGCGUUAAUCGGAAUUACUGGGCGUAAAGCGCACGCAGGCGGUCUGUCAAGUCGGAUGUGAAAUCCCCGGGCUCAACCUGGGAACUGCAUUCGAAACUGGCAGGCUAGAGUCUUGUAGAGGGGGGUAGAAUUCCAGGUGUAGCGGUGAAAUGCGUAGAGAUCUGGAGGAAUACCGGUGGCGAAGGCGGCCCCCUGGACAAAGACUGACGCUCAGGUGCGAAAGCGUGGGGAGCAAACAGGAUUAGAUACCCUGGUAGUCCACGCCGUAAACGAUGUCGAUUUGGAGGUUGUGCCCUUGAGGCGUGGCUUCCGGAGCUAACGCGUUAAAUCGACCGCCUGGGGAGUACGGCCGCAAGGUUAAAACUCAAAUGAAUUGACGGGGGCCCGCACAAGCGGUGGAGCAUGUGGUUUAAUUCGAUGCAACGCGAAGAACCUUACCUGGUCUUGACAUCCACAGAACUUUCCAGAGAUGGAUUGGUGCCUUCGGGAACUGUGAGACAGGUGCUGCAUGGCUGUCGUCAGCUCGUGUUGUGAAAUGUUGGGUUAAGUCCCGCAACGAGCGCAACCCUUAUCCUUUGUUGCCAGCGGUUCGGCCGGGAACUCAAAGGAGACUGCCAGUGAUAAACUGGAGGAAGGUGGGGAUGACGUCAAGUCAUCAUGGCCCUUACGACCAGGGCUACACACGUGCUACAAUGGCAUAUACAAAGAGAAGCGACCUCGCGAGAGCAAGCGGACCUCAUAAAGUAUGUCGUAGUCCGGAUUGGAGUCUGCAACUCGACUCCAUGAAGUCGGAAUCGCUAGUAAUCGUAGAUCAGAAUGCUACGGUGAAUACGUUCCCGGGCCUUGUACACACCGCCCGUCACACCAUGGGAGUGGGUUGCAAAAGAAGUAGGUAGC
rnacentral:rRNA from 1 species